UGGGGAAUUUUGCGCAAUGGGCGAAAGCCUGACGCAGCAACGCCGCGUGUGGGAUGAAGGCCUUCGGGUCGUAAACCACUGUCGGAAGGGAAGAACAAUUCGGUGAUCAAUACCCACCGGAUCUGACGGUACCUUCAAAGGAAGCACCGGCUAACUCCGUGCCAGCAGCCGCGGUAAUACGGAGGGUGCAAGCGUUGUUCGGAAUUACUGGGCGUAAAGCGCGCGUAGGCGGCUUGGCAAGUCGGGUGUGAAAUCCCCAGGCUCAACCUGGGAAUGGCAUCCGAAACUGCUUCGCUAGAGUCUCGGAGAGGAAGGCAGAAUUCCCAGUGUAGGGGUGAAAUCCGUAGAUACUGGGAGGAAUACCCGUAGCGAAGGCGGCCUUCUGGACGAUGACUGACGCUCAGGCGCGAAAGCGUGGGGAGCAAACAGG
rnacentral:rRNA from 1 species